CCUACGGGAGGCAGCAGUGGGGAAUAUUGCACAAUGGGGGGAACCCUGAUGCAGCAACGCCGCGUGGGUGAAGAAGUACUUCGGUAUGUAAAGCCCUGUCAGCAGGGAAGAAAAUGACGGUACCUGACCAAGAAGCCCCGGCUAACUACGUGCCAGCAGCCGCGGUAAUACGUAGGGGGCAAGCGUUAUCCGGAUUUACUGGGUGUAAAGGGAGCGUAGACGGCAAGGCAAGUCUGGAGUGAAAGCCCGGGGCUCAACCACGGGACUGCUUUGGAAACUGUGUUGCUGGAGUGCAGGAGGGGUAAGCGGAAUUCCUAGUGUAGCGGUGAAAUGCGUAGAUAUUAGGAGGAACACCGGUGGCGAAGGCGGCUUACUGGACUGUAACUGACGUUGAGGCUCGAAGGCGUGGGGAGCAAACAGGAUUAGAUACCCUGGUAGUC
rnacentral:rRNA from 1 species